GAGAGCAAAGAUAGCUUGACGUAUGGUCAGGCGAUGCUGAGCUCCAGCUUUUUCGAAGGCUCGUUUCUCCGUCUUUCUGAUUUUUAGAAAUUCAACAUGAGGGGAGGCGAUAAUGGAAAAAAAAUGGAAAUCGGUAGUAGAGGAAGAACAAAUGAAGAUGGGCAAAAAAUUUUUUUAAAAAUUAAAAAGGGGGGGUGGAGAGGAGCAGCCCUUCAGGGACGAGGACAGACGGUCGGGCGGCAAGGGGAGGAGCCGAGGAGUAGCCUCCCGGGAGAGUCCUGUUUACACUUGAGGAUCCCAAACCGCUUAGCAGAGGAAAGGGUCAUUCUGGGGAUCAAACCCAGGGCUUUGUGCAUGCCAGUCACACACCUCACCACUUUGCUGUCAGUCCAGCCUGCAGCCUGCCUCUCUGCCCACAGCCAACCCCUGCAAUUUGUAAUUAGAAUGUCAGAGCCAGCGAGCUCCAGCUGCUGUUUGCGUUCGUUCCUACAGGCGGCUGCUGUGCACUUAACCUCAGGUGUGUUUACAACUUUCACACAUGACACUGCCCAUGGCUGAUUCAGGGGACCAGCAAGGGGACCAGAAACUAAGCGGCUAGUGAAAGACGCACUUGACCUAGCAAGUUAAAGACUUACAAGAGGAUAACGAGGAAGCGUCAGUGCGUGGUCGAUGGACCUUCCAGGUGACUUUUAUAGGCUCUCUGCUCCAAUCUCUCUCAACUGCUCCAUCAUGGAUGCCUGCUGAGGUCCCACCCACCAACCACAUAGCUGGAAGCCUGGAGGCUCCCAGGUCUAGCACAGGAAACACUCAAACAGGAGACGACUGAAAUUGUCCUGGGUUUCCUCUCCUGGUUGAUGGCACUUUCCUCCAUGCAAAAUUAGACCUCGUUUUUUUCUUCCUUUCCCUAGUCCCUUGAGCUUGCAUUUGGUCCCUACCCCCCUGACCUGCUUGUGCUCGGAGUGCUAUGAAGCUUCGCCGUCUCACAAUUGUC
ensembl:antisense A230083G16Rik RIKEN cDNA A230083G16 gene